GAGACACCCCUAUGGAGCAGGACUUGCUUCAGUGGGACUUAGGUGUUCACUGAGUCUGCCCCUUGAAAGUGUCACU
rfam:Myotis davidii contig120782, whole genome shotgun sequence.